AUGGGCCAGCUGGAAGCAGAAGGGUGGAUGGGCCGAGGCUGGCUUUCAUUCUUCCUACGGCUCAAAUUGAGAUAUGGGCAUCUUCACCACCCAAGAAGAUGCUGAAGUAACGAAGAAAAGAGAAGAAAAGGAAUGGAGAGGAAACUAGCAAUUAGUAAGCCACCUGCUGGAUACUUCUCUUUGCCAGCUUGCAAGGUAGGGCUUAUUCUCUUGGUUGCAUACACUUUUCUGAUUCUAGGAUACGAGUGUAGAAUGGAGAGCCAGUGACCAUGCAGAGAUUCCACUAUGUCAAAGCUCAUGCACCUACAAGGAUAAGCAACAGUUGAACAAAUGGCUCAUGUCUUACUAGGCAUGAGUCUGUCUAUCUUGCUACUUACCAUGGACAACUGUCCACUUUGUGGGUCACUUAUACCAAAUCUAUGUGACCUAGACUUUAGGUUAGUCCUCAGCUCUAUUAACACUGUUUCCAAUUCCACUUUUAUAUGUCAUAUCUUGUUCUGUGUAGGUCCUACCUUUUAUUCAUAUAUAUUUGUGUCAAUUGUCUUAACUCCUUUCUGGCAAAGAACAAAUAUGUCAAUUAAGAAAGAUUAUUUUUCACAAUGACCCUAUAGUAACAUGUAAUCACUAUUUUCAUUUUUUUUUAAUUGGAGAAUUACCUUGCCUAGAUCAUGGCAUCUAGUAACACUGAAGCCACAACCUGGGCUUGAGCCACAUGUUGGUUUCAUAUAGAGCAGCUGUAGUGGUAGAGGGGUCUCUGCUUGGGAGGAAGAGUAGUCAAGUCUCUGAAGAAGAAGAAAAUGAACCAAAAGGAAUAAUCUUGCAAAUGUGAUAAGAAAGAGCUAACUAAGACACAGAGACAUAUUAGAACACCAACUGCAAAGUCAAGUUUACUUACUUUUGAAGUUUAGGUCUGCUAAUUAUGACAGCUGUAAAGAUGGUCUACAUGUUUGAUCGGGUGACCAGGUCUUCCUUCUUAACUGGACACUUGAGUCAGAAUUACUUAUUUUCAAUUAAGCAUUGUUACUAAAUAUUUACUUUAAGAUCUUCCAACUAUUAGAUGUUGGCUAUAAUUUUAAAGCAUAGUGGAAUUUAACAAGAAUACAUUUUAAAUUGUCUCUCAAUGUUAAACAAUACAGUAGACAAGUAAGUGCUCAUAGUUGCUUUGUUGCUUUUAAAAAUUAUUUUAUUUACAUUCCAAAUGUUGCCUCUUCUAGCCCCAACUUGCAGAGUUCUUCCUCCAUCCCCCAUCCUCUUUGCCUUUGAGAAGGUGCCCCAUCCGGGCCUUUCCACUCCCUGGGGCAUCAAGUGUCUAUGGGAUUAGGUACAUCUCCCACAGAGGCUCGGCAAAACAGCCCACAGCUACAUAUGUGCCAGGGGUCUUGGACCAGUAUGUGUAUGCUCUUUGGUUGGUGCUUUAGUCUCUGAGAGUUCCCAGGGUUCCAGGAUAGUUGACACUGUUGGUCUUCCUAUGGAGUUGCUAUUACCUUCAGUUCCUUCAAUUCUUCCUGUAACUCUUCCAUAGGGGUCCUUGACUUUAGUCCAAUGCUUGCCUGUUUGUAUCUGUCUCAGUCAGUUUUGUUUUGUUUUGUUUUGUUUUGUUCUGUUUUGUUUUGUUUUGUAGAGCUUCUCAGAGGACAGGCAUGCUAGGCUCCUGUCUGUAAGCACAACACAGUAAUAGUAAUAGUGUCAGGGUUUGGUACUUGGCCUUGGGAUGGAUCUCAAUUUGGUUGGCCAUUCAUCCAGUCUCUGCUCCAUUUUUGUCUCUCCAUUUCUUUUAGACAGGAUCAAUUUUGGAUCAGAAAUUUUGAAAGUGGGUUGGUGUCCCUAUCCCUCUACUGGGGCCCUGUCUAACUUCUGGAGAUGGUCUUUUCAGGUUCCAUAUCCCCACUGCUGGGCAUUUUGGCUAAGGUCAUUGACAUUGAGUAUUGGGAGUCUUACCCAUCCCAGGUCUUUCCUCAGAAGAUGGAAAGAUCUCUCAUGCUCAUGGAUUGGUAGUAUUAUCAUAGGGGAAAUGGACAUCUUACCAAAAGCAAUCUACAGAUUUAGUAUAUUUCCCAUCUAAAUUCCAAUGCAAUUCUUCACAGACAGGGAAAGAGCAAUUCUAAACUUCAUAUAGAAAACCAAAAAACAAUUCUGAACAAUAAAAGCUUCUGGAGGAAUCACCAUCCCUGACCUCAAGCUAUAUUACAGAGCAAUAGUGACAAAAACUUCAUGGUAUUAGUACAGAAACAGACAGUCGAAUACAAUUAAAGACCCAGAAAUAAACCUUCAUACCUAUGGACACUUGAUCUUUGACAAAGAAUCCAAGACCAUACAGUGGAAAAAGGAAAGCAUUAUCAAGUAAUGGUGUUGGUCUAACUGGUGAUCCACAUAUAGAAGAAUGCAAAUUUAUCCAUAUUUAUCACCGUGCACAAAUAUCAAGGCCAAGUGGAUCAAGGACCUUAAUAUAAAACCAGAUACACUGAACUAAUAAAAGAUGAAGUGGGGAAUAUCCUUGAACUCCUUGGCACAGGGGAAAUUUUCUGGGACAGAACACCACCAAUGGCUCACAGGCUCUAAGAUCAACAAUUGAUAAAUGGGACCUCUUGAAACUGAAAAGCUUCUUUAAGGCAAAGGACACUGUCAAUAGGACAAAACAGCUCUGUUGCUUUUUGACAACAUCAGAAUUCAGUAGUGUGAGAGUGAGCAUGUGUGUGUGUGUGUGUUUGCAUGCACACACGUGUGCUUGUGCGUGUUACUUUUCUCAUUGCUGUGACCACGCAACAGACAAAAGCAGCUUAUAACUGGAAGGGUUUAUUUUGGCUUUGAGAGGGUACAGUGCAUUAGAAUGGGGAAGGCAUAAUGGAUUGAUGCCAGCAUGAGCGUGUGGCUGGGGUCACUCACAUCUCAGCUUACCAGGAAAAGAGGGAUGUCAACAUUCAUCUGAAUUUCCCCUUUUUUAUUCGGGUAUGGGCUUUAACUGCUAGGAUAAUGCUAGCCAUAUUCAAGAUGGUUCUUCUCUCCUUAGUUAUACCACCCUAGAAACUCCCUCAAGGGCACUGAGAGGUAUGUCUCCUCAGUAAUUCCAAAGUCAGAUGAAUCUAUCUAUCUAUCUAUCUAUCUAUCUAUCUAUCUAUCUAUCUAUCUAUCUAUCAUCUUUCCCCUGCCCCCUCAGUUAAAUCUCACUAAAAAUAUUUUAAAGAUAGCCAGCCACACUAGCACAAUGUUUAGGUGAUAAAACUGACAAAGCAGCAAGAAUGUUAUGAGAGUUAUGUAGCUGGCAAAACCUCCAAACCUUGAGUGAUUUGUGUGUGAGGCCAGAUUUAUUUUGGAGAUAUUUUUUUCACAAACAUCUGUAUCAUAAAUCAAAUUGGAAUGUGUUUGUUAUUUUUUUCUGUGGAAAAAUAUAAUACAGUCUACUUGCUGCUUAAGGUCAUGUUUCCCCAGAAUGGUGAUCAAAACUAACCCCCUGACACAGUUGUCAUGUUCAUCCUGUCCUAGGAGUACCAUAAAAAGUGUAGCUCAUCUCACCUAAGAAAGUCAGAGAGUACUUUUUAAGGAGAAAUAGCUUUGUAGUCCCUGAGGCUAGGCUGAUCAUAUUUUUGUCAGUUUGAUAAAUAUCU
rnacentral:lncRNA from 1 species